rnacentral:rRNA from 1 species
GGUUAAGCGACUAAGCGUACACGGUGGAUGCCCUGGCAGUCAGAGGCGAUGAAGGACGUGCUAAUCUGCGAUAAGCGUCGGUGAGGUGAUAUGAACCGUUAUAACCGGCGAUUUCCGAAUGGGGAAACCCAGUGUGUUUCGACACACUAUCAUUAACUGAAUCCAUAGGUUAAUGAGGCGAACCGGGGGAACUGAAACAUCUAAGUACCCCGAGGAAAAGAAAUCAACCGAGAUUCCCCCAGUAGCGGCGAGCGAACGGGGAGGAGCCCAGAGCCUGAAUCAGUGUGUGUGUUAGUGGAAGCGUCUGGAAAGGCGUGCGAUACAGGGUGACAGCCCCGUACACAAAAAUGCACAUAUUGUGAGCUCGAUGAGUAGGGCGGGACACGUGGUAUCCUGUCUGAAUAUGGGGGGACCAUCCUCCAAGGCUAAAUACUCCUGACUGACCGAUAGUGAACCAGUACCGUGAGGGAAAGGCGAAAAGAACCCCGGCGAGGGGAGUGAAAAAGAACCUGAAACCGUGUACGUACAAGCAGUGGGAGCCUCUUAAUGGGGUGACUGCGUACCUUUUGUAUAAUGGGUCAGCGACUUAUAUUCUGUAGC